rnacentral:hammerhead_ribozyme from 1 species
AUCAGCUGACGAGUCCCGAAUAGGACGAAACACACAUCAUGGAU